rnacentral:rRNA from 1 species
UACGUAGGGUGCAAGCGUUAUCCGGAUUUACUGGGUUUAAAGGGUGCGUAGGUGGGUCUGUAAGUCAGUGGUGAAAUCUCCGAGCUUAACUCGGAAACUGCCAUUGAUACUAUAGAUCUUGAAUUAUCUGGAGGUGAGCGGAAUAUGUCAUGUAGCGGUGAAAUGCUUAGAUAUGACAUAGAACACCAAUUGCGAAGGCAGCUCACUACGGAUUGAUUGACACUGAGGCACGAAAGCGUGGGGAUCAAACAGG